AUUUUAUCAGUCUGUUCAAAUAAGGUGACAUUAAAAUUCUGGGAUUUUGCUGAUAUAUGUCUAACAACUAUUAAUCCAGCAACUCCAGCUCCAAUGACGGCAACUGUUAUUUUACCACUCGGCAUUUUUUGUUUGACGUUUAAGAGAAAAUAAGUAACGAUAAGAAAUAAAUAAAUAGAGAUUAGACAAUCAAUGAAUUGUAUAAAACUAUUACUAUUACUACUACAAUGUUAUGAAAAAGAAAUGAAAAAAUGUUUUCGGAUUUGUUAUGACUUCAAUAAUGAUUGAAUCUAAACUGGAGAGAUAUUGGCAAUGGAUCGCAUUAAACAACUUUCUCCCACCAAUAAAAUCUUACGUUCUUUUGAAAAAUAUGGGUGAUUUACACAUGUAUGAGUUACAUAAAUAAAGUGAAACAUGUAUGGUUAGAGCUUUAAACAACUACAUUAAUCUGGUUCUUUACGAUAAAAAAAAAGUAAUUGCAAUCACGUGAAAAUUAGACGGUUUGGUAG